GACUGGGAUAACUCCGGGAAACCGGGGCUAAUACCGGAUAACAUUUUGAACCGCAUGGUUCGAAAUUGAAAGGCGGCUUCGGCUGUCACUUAUGGAUGGACCCGCGUCGCAUUAGCUAGUUGGUGAGGUAACGGCUCACCAAGGCAACGAUGCGUAGCCGACCUGAGAGGGUGAUCGGCCACACUGGGACUGAGACACGGCCCAGACUCCUACGGGAGGCAGCAGUAGGGAAUCUUCCGCAAUGGACGAAAGUCUGACGGAGCAACGCCGCGUGAGUGAUGAAGGCUUUCGGGUCGUAAAACUCUGUUGUUAGGGAAGAACAAGUGCUAGUUGAAUAAGCUGGCACCUUGACGGUACCUAACCAGAAAGCCACGGCUAACUACGUGCCAGCAGCCGCGGUAAUACGUAGGUGGCAAGCGUUAUCCGGAAUUAUUGGGCGUAAAGCGCGCGCAGGUGGUUUCUUAAGUCUGAUGUGAAAGCCCACGGCUCAACCGUGGAGGGUCAUUG
rnacentral:rRNA from 1 species